GAUGAACGCUGGCGGCGUGCCUAAUACAUGCAAGUCGAGCGAAUGGAUUAAGAGCUUGCUCUUAUGAAGUUAGCGGCGGACGGGUGAGUAACACGUGGGUAACCUGCCCAUAAGACUGGGAUAACUCCGGGAAACCGGGGCUAAUACCGGAUAACAUUUUGAACCGCAUGGUUCGAAAUUGAAAGGCGGCUUCGGCUGUCACUUAUGGAUGGACCCGCGUCGCAUUAGCUAGUUGGUGAGGUAACGGCUCCCCAAGGCAACGAUGCGUAGCCGACCUGGGAGCGUGAUCGGCCACACUGGGAGUGAGACACGGCCCAGACUCCUACGGGAGGCAGCAGUAGUGAAUCUGCCGCAAUGGACGAAAGUCUGACGGAGCAACGCCGCGUGAGUGAGGAAGGCUUUCGGGGCGUAAAACUCUGUUGUUAGGGAAGGACAAGUGCUAGUUGAAUAAGCUGGCACCUUGACGGUACCUAACCAGAAAGCCACGGCUAACUACGUGCCAGCAGCCGCCGCAG
rnacentral:rRNA from 1 species